rnacentral:rRNA from 1 species
AUUGAACGCUGGCGGCAGGCCUAACACAUGCAAGUCGAACGGUAACAGGGAUCAGCUUGCAGAUUCGCUGACGAGUGGCGGACGGGUGAGUAAUGUCUGGGAAACUGCCUGAUGGAGGGGGAUAACUACUGGAAACGGUAGCUAAUACCGCAUAACGUCGCAAGACCAAAGAGGGGGACCUUCGGGCCUCUUGCCAUCGGAUGUGCCCAGAUGGGAUUAGCUAGUAGGUGGGGUAACGGCUCACCUAGGCGACGAUCCCUAGCUGGUCUGAGAGGAUGACCAGCCACACUGGAACUGAGACACGGUCCAGACUCCUACGGGAGGCAGCAGUGGGGAAUAUUGCACAAUGGGCGCAAGCCUGAUGCAGCCAUGCCGCGUGUAUGAAGAAGGCCUUCGGGUUGUAAAGUACUUUCAGCGGGGAGGAAGGGAGUAAAGUUAAUACCUUUGCUCAUUGACGUUACCCGCAGAAGAAGCACCGGCUAACUCCGUG